rnacentral:ncRNA from 1 species
AUACGGGUGCCUGCCCACAACGGCAGGAUAAUCGGGAAAUUGGUGCGCCCCUGGCAACUCCAAUACUGCCCCCGCAACGGUAUUCAAGUUUCUGACAAUCAAUAUGCCACUGUGCCUGCAUGGGAAGGCGAUUGUUUUUUUAGCUUGUAAGUCCGGAGACCGGCCUGUGUCA